rnacentral:tRNA from 1 species
GAGGAUAUAGCUCAGUGGCAGGGCACAGGUUUUGCAAGCCUGAGGCUCCAGAUGCAAGUUGACUGGUGCAUUGGAAUAUCCAUCCUUU